rnacentral:pre_miRNA from 1 species
CACGUACUCCCUCCGUUCGGAAUUACUUGUCGCAGAAAUGGAUGUAUCUAGAUGUAUUUUAGUUCUAGAUACAUCCAUUUUCGAGACAAGUAAUUCCGAACGGAGGGAGUAUCUA